CAAGUUAUACAGUAGCCUAAAGCAGAGCAAGUGUACAACAAGUUGAUAAAAAGAAUGCCCAGUCAUGCUAUUUGAUUUCACAAGAGAAGAAUGUGUCAGGUGCAAUGUUGUGUACACUUUAUAAUUCUAUAAUAAUUUGUAGUGCACUGUGGCUGGAAGCCAGAGUACACUUGAAGCUACGAACUAUGCAACAAGCCUGAAACUCCAACAACAAGAAGCAGAGUUGAGUUCCUAGCCAUCAGACAAGACUGGAACUCCCAGCAUUUGCCUCUCAAAUUUUUAUAUAGAGUGAAAAUUCCCAGCAGGGUAGAUAGUGAUCAACUUGUUGUACAACAAGUGCAGAGCAGCUACACAAGAAAAAUACAAGCUCACUGAUACUAGUUGUGCACUUGUUUCUUUCAUUCACCACUGCUCUGAUCUGUAGUGAAAGCGAAAGCAUGGCCAAAAGAAGUUAAAAAAUGUUAUUAGUUGUAAGAGGAUAGAGAUGCCACUGGAUCUCAGAAUAAUAUCAGAUCAGGUUGUUGAAGACGUUGAUGAAGAUGUUGUCAUUGGUGACGGCGUCGAUCUGCAGCCCCGGGAACUGCAUGUUGAUCAGGAUCCCCUGCACUGCCGCCAGCUUAACUCAAGGCUGCGGUGGGUUUCCAUGGCCGGGCUGCACCCCGUCGCUUGUCACUGUUCCUCCUCUCCUACCUGCAGAGACAGAGACGGGGGUGAGAGGGAGGGGGAGAUUGAGCCACCUGUUGUACCAGGAUUACACAGCAAAGCAAGAAAUAACCACACAUUUCCUGCUAGAGAUUCAUGGGAGCCGCACUCACCAGCCUGCCCCUGCUGAAGGUGAAGUCCUCGAUUCCGUGGCCACUGAAGAAAUCCGCCACCUCCUGCAGCACCGGCGGCUUGUCCAGGUCGAACUCGUGUGUGCAUAUGGAACACCUACGAACCACGCAGAAGAAGAGUCAGCUCACACGCACGCACGUACAGAAGUGGUACACAAUAUCUGGUUGAAUCAAAGGAAUCGAAGCGGCGAGAACCGAACUGUUGGAGAGACGAGAUCGACAGAUCACUCACGUGGUGGAGGUCGGCCUUGAGGGGCGCCAUGGCCUCUGGGGAUGACGAGGCCGCCAUCGUCACCGCGGAGGCAGUCACCCGCGAGGGAGGCCGGCAGGCUUGGCCUAGACAUGCUUGACCUUGGAGAGGAUCUCCCGCGGCCGCCAUCGCUGAUCCUGCUACUGGAUCCGAGCUUCGGGGAUUGGGGAUUGGGGAUCGGGGAGACGAACCCCUAGCUGCAGCGGAGGAGGAAGAAGAGCUGGGAGCGGGAGCGAGGUUCGGGUGCAGCGCGAGGGAAGGAGGGCGCCGCUGGUGACAGAAAGGAAGGAGGGUGCCGCCGGUGAUAGUGCGAGGGAAGGAGGCCGCGGCGCGAGGGGUGAGGGAGAGGCCGAUCUGGAUCGGGGACAGAGAGACGGAGGCGGCGGGCGGAAGGAAGGGACGAGAGGUGAGAGAGAGGUAGGGUUUGGUGCGGUGGGUUUUUUCCCUUUCUUUGCAUGGACGGAUGGAUGGAUGUUGGAUUGCUAGCAAUGGAUGGUAGGAUGUCUGCCAUCUCAUCGAUCCGUGCCACAAACGAUUCCACCAAUCACAAUGUAGUACACACUUUGACGAUUUUAUAACCAUCUAAAUUGGUCGUAAUCAAAUAAAUAAUAUGCUAAAUCAUGUCACCUAUUUUAUAACAUCAUAGAAUUAGAAAAAAAAUAAGAACAAUAGCAUCGUGUCACAAGUAAGACUUGUUUUCCAGAAAAAUAACAAACCUGGAAUAAUACAAAUAUCUUUAAAAAUUGAUCUCAAAAAUGAGUUUUAUUUGCAAAAAAACAUUUUCUACCUUUGGAGUGUCGAAAAUGGUAUAUAUUUUUUGUAGCACUUACCAAUAUUUGUUGCAAAAUGGCACCACUCUAUUUUUCAAUAAUAUUAGAUCAUAUUUUAGGUACAAUUGACCAAAUGCUUGUGUCUCAAUAGCUGUUUAUCCACCUCUCGUCAAUAAUUGAGGAGGUUUUUCAAGUGCCCAUUUUCCAUUUUUCGAGUGCCCAAAAGGAGGUCUUUUUGUGAAGAACCUACCAAAUAAUUGUUGCAAAAUUGGACCAAAUCAUUUUUCUAAAAUACUAGGCCAUAUUUAAUGCACAAUUGGCCAAAUGGUUGGGUGUAAAAAGUUUUGAUCCACCUCUCGUGAAAAAGACAAAUUUUCGCCGAUUCAGCUGGAAGCGGGUCAAAUUUGAACUGUAGGUACCCUGUAGUUUGCUCUUUUAUUUUUUCCAAAAAUCAAUUCUCGGUACAUAAGUAUCUAUUUAAUCAGAGAAACACCAAAAAAAAUCCAAGAUUCAACCACUAGCUAGGAAUGGUCAUUCCCGCUGUUUUGACCGUAUUUUGAAACGGGCAUAAAAAAUUCAAAAAAAAAUAAAAAAUUGGGAAACCUUCACAUUGUGUCAUUAUAUGUGGCCAAGUUCCCAGGAAAAAUAACAACUUGCAAUACAGCAAUUAUUUUAAAAAAGUGUUCUCAGAAACGAGCUAUCACGUGUGGAGAUCGAGGGCUUUCAAGCCAAAUGAUCAAUCUUAUAGCCACAUUCAUGGCAUAGUUUGUCCAAAUGAUCUCAUAUUCUGCACAAGGGUGCAUAUUGGAAUGGCAAACAAUUUUGCUUAAGGAAGUUUUCAUUUUCUUUGGACGAAAAAACCAUUUUCCAUUUUUCGAGUGCGCAAAAGGAGUUCUUUUUGUGAAGAACCUCCCAAAUAAUUAUUGUAAAACUGGACCAAAUCAUUUUUCUAAACUACUAGGCCAUAUUUAAAGCACAAAUGACCAAAUAGUUGGGUGUCAAAAGAUUUUAUCCACAACUGGUAAAAAAGACAAAUUUCGCUGAUCCAGCUGGAAGCGGGUGAAAUUUGAACUGUAGCUGCCUCAUAGUUUGCUAUUUAUGUUUUCCAAAAAUCAUUUCUAGGUACAUAAGUAUCUAUUUUAUCAUAGAAACACCAAAAGUUUUCCAAGAUUCAACCACUAGCUAGGAACGGUCAAGCCCGCAGUUUUGACCGUAUUUUGAAACGGACAUAAAAAAUUCAAAAAAAAUCAAAAAAUUGGAAAACCUUCGCAUUGUGUCAUUAUAUGUGACCAAGUUUCCAGGAAAAAUAAUAAACUUGUAAUACGGUUAAUAUUUUAAAAAAGUGUUCUCAGAAUUGAGCUAUCAUGCGUGAAGAUUCAUGGCUUUCAAGCCAAAUGAUCAAUCUUAUGACCACAUUCAUGGCAUAGUUUGUUCAAAUGAUCUCAUAUUGUGCACAAGGAUGCAUCUUGGAAUUCCAAACAAUGUUGCCUAAGGGAGUUUUCAUUUUCUUUGCACGGAAAAUUCAUUUUCCAUUUUCCGAGUGCCCGAAAUGAGGGGUUUUUGUGAAGGAACUACCAAAUAAUUGUUGCAAAAAUGGACCAAAUCAAUUUUAUAAGAUACUAGGCCAUGUUUAAUGCACAGUUGACAAAAUGGUUGGGUGUGAAAAGUUUUGAUCCACCUCUGGUGAAAAAGACAAAUUGUCGCCGAUUCAGGUGGAAGCGGGUCAAAUUUGAACUGUAGUUGCCUCAUAGUUUGCUAUUUAUUUUUUCCAAAAAUCAUUUCUAGGUACAUAAGUAUCUAUUUUAUCAUAGAAACACCAAAAGUUUUCCAAGAUUCAACCACUAGCUAGGAACGGUCAAGCCCGCCGUUUUGACCGCAUUUUGAAACGGGCAUAAAAAAUUAAAAAAAAU
rnacentral:lncRNA from 1 species